rnacentral:rRNA from 1 species
CAUGCCUAAUUACAUGCAAGUCGAACGCACAGCGAAAGGUGCUUGCACCUUUCAAGUGAGUGGCGAACGGGUGAGUAACACGUGGACAACCUGCCUCAAGGCUGGGGAUAACAUUUGGAAACAGAUGCUAAUACCGAAUAAAACUUAGUGUCGCAUGACACAAAGUUAAAAGGCGCUUCGGCGUCACCUAGAGAUGGAUCCGCGGUGCAUUAGUUAGUUGGUGGGGUAAAGGCCUACCAAGACAAUGAUGCAUAGCCGAGUUGAGAGACUGAUCGGCCACAUUGGGACUGAGACACGGCCCAAACUCCUACGGGAGGCUGCAGUAGGGAAUCUUCCACAAUGGGCGAAAGCCUGAUGGAGCAACGCCGCGUGUGUGAUGAAGGCUUUCGGGUCGUAAAGCACUGUUGUAUGGGAAGAACAGCUAGAAUAGGAAAUGAUUUUAGUUUGACGGUACCAUACCAGAAAGGGACGGCUAAAUACGUGCCAGCAGCCGCGGUAAUACGUAUGUCCCGAGCGUUAUCCGGAUUUAUUGGGCGUAAAGCGAGCGCAGACGGUUUAUUAAGUCUGAUGUGAAAGCCCGGAGCUCAACUCCGGAAUGGCAUUGGAAACUGGUUAACUUGAGUGCAGUAGAGGUAAGUGGAACUCCAUGUGUAGCGGUGGAAUGCGUAGAUAUAUGGAAGAACACCAGUGGCGAAGGCGGCUUACUGGACUGCAACUGACGUUGAGGCUCGAAAGUGUGGGUAGCAAACAGGAUUAGAUACCCUGGUAGUCCACACCGUAAACGAUGAACACUAGGUGUUAGGAGGUUUCCGCCUCUUAGUGCCGAAGCUAACGCAUUAAGUGUUCCGCCUGGGGAGUACGACCGCAAGGUUGAAACUCAAAGGAAUUGACGGGGACCCGCACAAGCGGUGGAGCAUGUGGUUUAAUUCGAAGCAACGCGAAGAACCUUACCAGGUCUUGACAUCCUUUGAAGCUUUUAGAGAUAGAAAUGUUCUCUUCGGAGACAAAGUGACAGGUGGUGCAUGGUCGUCCUCACCUCCUGUCCUGAGAAGUUUGGGUUAAUUCCCGCCACCAACGCCACCCCUUAUUGUUGUUUGCCGCCAUUCCAAAGGGGCCUCUUUCGAGAAAGGCGGGGGAGAAACCGGAGGAAGGGGGGGGGGAAAAUCAGAUAAUAAAGGCCCCUUUUAACUGGGGGGACCCCCUGCUUCAAUGGGGGUUAAAAACAAAUUGCCACCCGCGCCGGGGGAGGGAAUUUUUUAAAUAAAUUUCCCUUUUCGGAUUGGUGGUUUGCACUCCCCCCCCCCUAAAAACCGGAAUCUCCU